rnacentral:rRNA from 1 species
AUUCGCCCGCCGCGCGCGGCGGGCGGGGCGGGGGCACGGGGGGACUCCUACGGGAGGCAGCAGUGAGGAAUAUUGCACAAUGGGCGCAAGCCUGAUGCAGCCAUGCCGCGUGUAUGAAGAAGGCCUUCGGGUUGUAAAGUACUUUCAGCGGGGAGGAAGGCGAUAAGGCUAAUAACCUUGUCGAUUGACGUUACCCGCAGAAGAAGCACCGGCUAACUCCGUGCCAGCAGCCGCGGUAAUAAUC